rnacentral:rRNA from 1 species
GACGAACGCUGGCGGCGUGCUUAACACAUGCAAGUCGAGCGGUAAGGCCCCUUCGGGGGCACACGAGCGGCGAACGGGUGAGUAACACGUGAGCAACCUGCCCCUGACUCCGGGAUAAGCGGUGGAAACGCCGUCUAAUACCGGAUACGACCCUCCGGCUCAUGCCGUGGGGGUGGAAAGUUUUUUCGGUUGGGGAUGGGCUCGCGGCCUAUCAGCUUGUUGGUGGGGUAAAGGCCUACCAAGGCGAUUACGGGUAGCCGGCCUGAGAGGGCGACCGGCCACACUGGGACUGAGACACGGCCCAGACUCCUGCGGGAGGCAGCAGUGGGGAAUCUUGCGCAAUGGGCGAAAGCCUGACGCAGCGACGCCGCGUGGGGGAUGACGGCCUUCGGGUUGUAAACUCCUUUUACCACUCACGCAGGCCCGGAGUGUUCUUCGGGUUGACGGUAGGUGGGGAAUAAGGACCGGCUAACUACGUGCCAGCCGCCGCCGUAA